CACCCUGCACAGGUGCCCUCCUGCGUCCUCCAGGUUCAGGGCCGCGCCCUGCGCCACCAGCAGCGAGAUGAUCCUGUCGUGCCCUGCUUUCACCGCUUGCAGCAGCGGCGAGUUCCCAAACUUAUCUGCGUUGCGUUCUCAGGAACCUGACGAUGUCUUCGUAUCCUCUCAAUGCAGCAACAUGCUGCAAGACAAAGAAAGAUGAAGGCAAAGAACGGUGAUUAACCGAGAAUUUGGGAUGGAAUCUUGUAGUUAAUGAGUGAGCUCCUGUAAAAAAAUAAUCUGCAAGAUCGAGUUCACGUACUAAUGCGGUCCUCCCGUCGUGAUCCGGUUUACUCGGAUCUGCUCCUGCGCUGAUCAAGCCUUUCAACCGAAACAAAUCUCCAUGGUAGGCAGCAUUGUUGACUCCAAGGACAAGCUCUGCUUCUUGCUUCGCUAUCAGGAUGCUAGUCAGGGACUGCUUGUCAAUUCUCAAGAGGCUGCAGAGUUCACAGACUCUAACUGUGUAUGGCUGUGGAGUGUUGCAGAUUAUAGCAACAUCGCCGACUAUGUCGUUAGGCAGCAGUUCUGACAUGAUCUCUUCUGAUACGCCUUCUCCAGUGCUGACCUCUUCCUGUCAGAGUACAUGGAACAUGACAGCUGAAGUGGAAGUAGUACCAGACAUCCAUGUGCCACAAUGUAAAUUUGAUCCACCACAGUGCCUUGCUCCAAGAUAACUUCUCCAGGGAGGAAGAAUUCUUCAUGUAAUUUCACCACCUGAAGUUGCCAAUUUAGGCAUUGGAUAAAUUAUCAACUUAAACUAAUCAUAUUGAGAGAAAUAUGCAUAGAUCCACUGAAGUCUUA